UAGAUACCCUGGUAGUCCACACAGUAAACGAUGUAUACUCGCGGUUUGCGAUAUAUUGUAAGCCGCCAAGCGAAAGCAUUAAGUAUACCACCUGGGGAGUACGCCGGCAACGGUGAAACUCAAAGGAAUUGACGGGGGCCCGCACAAGCGGAGGAACAUGUGGUUUAAUUCGAUGAUACGCGAGGAACCUUACCCGGGCUUGAACUAGGAGUGACAGAUUUAGAGAUAGAUCUUUCUUCGGACACUCUUG
rnacentral:rRNA from 1 species